AGAUAGUAUCUUAGAAAGCCAAAAGUCGAUUUAAUAUCUUCAUUGGCCAUUCAAGUGGGGCAAAGGAAAUAACCUUUUAAAACUCAGGCAAACUUAAGUGUUUGCCUUAUACUGUCAGGGGAAACAUUA